GCCCUGGUCGUAUAGAGGUCAGUAUGCUGCCCUGUCACGGCAGCGACCCGGGUUCGAAUCCCGGCCAGGGCGCCA
rnacentral:tRNA from 2 species